rnacentral:rRNA from 1 species
CCUACGGUGGGCAGCAGUGGGGAAUAUUGGGCAAUGGGCGCAAGCCUGACCCAGCAACGCCGCGUGCAGGAAGAAGGCUUUCGGGUUGUAAACUUCUUUUAAGAGGGAAGAGCAGAAGACGGUACAUCUUGAAUAAGACACAGCUAACUACGGGACAGCAGCCGCGUUAAUACGUAGGGGGCAAGCGUUGUCCGGAUUUAGUGGGUGGACAGGGUGUGCAGGCGGGAAGACAAGUGAGAUGUGAAAUCCCGGGGCUAAACGACGGAAUUGCAUUUGAUACUGUUUGUCUAGAGUACAGGAGAGGUCGGCGGAAUUCCUGGUGUAGCGGUGAAAUGCGUAGAGAUAAGGCAGAACACCAGUGGCGAAGGCAGAUGACUGGGCGACUACUGACGGUGAGGCGCGAAAGCGUGGGGAGCAAACAGGAUUAGAUACCCUAGUAGUC